rnacentral:sRNA from 1 species
UGUUGAAUAUUUUACCUAAGACAGUAGGAGUUCUAACUGAACUUAAAAAUCAUCCUACCGAGGCUAAAAUGGACUUGAACGUAUGAACUUUCAAGCACUUUUUGCCGUGGGUAAAAAGUGCUUUAUAUUUAA